rnacentral:rRNA from 1 species
CGGCAGCAGCAGCAAGCCGAGAGGAGCGGUGGAGCCUCGCCGGCAAGACGGCCCUCGUCACCGGCGGAACCAAAGGAAUCGGGCGCGAUCGUGGAGGAGCUCGCGGGGUUCGGCGUCCGGGUGCACACCUGCGCCCGGAGCGACGGCGACGUGCAGGAGCGGCUGUGCGGAUGGGCCGCGGACACCGACGCGGGCCGCCUGAGCGCGCGCGUCACGGGCUCAACAUGCGACGUCUCCGUGCGCGGCAACCGGGAGGCGCUCAUGGCAACGGCCAGCGCCGAGCUGGGGGGCAAGCUGGACAUCCUUGUGAACAACGCCGGGCAGACCUUCUUCGGGGCGGCCACGGCGUGCACGGCGGAGGAGUACGCCCGUCUCAUGGCCACCAACCUCGAGUCGUGCUUCCACCUGGCGCAGCUGGCGCACCCGCUCCUCCUCGCCGGCAGCGGCGGCAACGUGGUGAACAUCUCAUCCAUUGGCGGGCUGCUCGGAUACCCGACGCUGUCGCUGUACUCGGCGACCAAGGCGGCCCUGAACCAGCUCACCCGUACCCUCGCCGUUGAGUGGGCAUGCGACGGCAUCCGGGUCAAUUGCGUCGCGCCGGGAGGAGUCCGGACGGACCUCCUCGACAGCAGCGGCAUUCAGAUCGACUCAGAUGCGGCAGGGAGGAUGUGGGAGGCGGAGAGCGCGCGCACCGCUUUGGGCCGCCUAGGCGAGCCAGAGGAGGUGGCGUCGCUCGUGGGGUUCCUCUGCAUGCCGGCUGCUUCCUACAUCACCGGGCAGGUCAUCUGCGUCGAUGGCGGCCGUACCGUAGCCGCCUAG